rnacentral:rRNA from 1 species
GACGAACGCUGGCGGCGUGCUUAACACAUGCAAGUCGAACGGUAAGGCCCUUCGGGGUACACGAGUGGCGAACGGGUGAGUAACACGUGGGUGAUCUGCCCUGCACUUCGGGAUAAGCCUGGGAAACUGGGUCUAAUACCGGAUAGGACUCCUGGCUUCAUGGUUGGGGGUGGAAAGCUUUUGAGGUGUGGGAUGGGCCCGCGGCCUAUCAGCUUGUUGGUGGGGUAAUGGCCUACCAAGGCGACGACGGGUAGCCGGCCGGAGAGGGUGACCGGUCACACUGGGACUGAGAUACUGCCCAGACUCCUACGGGAGGCAGCAGUGGGGAAUAUUGCACAAUGGGCGCAAGCCUGAUGCAGCGACGCCGCGUGAGGGAUGACGGCCUUCGGGUUGUAAACCUCUUUCAGUAGGGACGAAGCGCAAGUGACGGUACCUACAGAAGAAGGACCGGCCAACUACGUGCCAGCCGCCGCCGUAA